CUCCGGCAGACCCUCCCUCCCAGACCCUCCUACUUCAACAUGGAUGCUGUCCAGGAAGUAGGAGGGUCUGGGAGGGAGGGUCUGCCGGAG